rnacentral:rRNA from 1 species
UACGUAGGGUGCGAGCGUUAAUCGGAAUUACUGGGCGUAAAGCGUGCGCAGGCGGGCUUUUAAGCCAGACGUGAAAUCCCCGGGCUCAACCUGGGAAUGGCGUUUGGGACUGGAAGUCUGGAGUGCGGCAGAGGAGACUGGAAUUCCUGGUGUAGCAGUGAAAUGCGUAGAUAUCAGGAGGAACACCGAUGGCGAAGGCAGGUCUCUGGGCAGUAACUGACGCUGAGGAGCGAAAGCGUGGGGAGCGAACAGG